rfam:Ipomoea nil DNA, scaffold: scaffold2701, cultivar: Tokyo-kokei standard.
GGUUCCAUGGUGUAGUGGUUAGCACUUUGGACUUUGAAUCCAGUAACCUGCGUUCAACUCUUAGUGGGACCU